rnacentral:rRNA from 1 species
AGUGGAAGCGUCUGGAAAGGCGCGCGAUACAGGGUGACAGCCCCGUACACAAAAAUGCACAUGCUGUGAGCUCGAUGAGUAGGGCGGGACACGUGGUAUCCUGUCUGAAUAUGGGGGGACCAUCCUCCAAGGCUAAAUACUCCUGACUGACCGAUAGUGAACCAGUACCGUGAGGGAAAGGCGAAAAGAACCCCGGCGAGGGGAGUGAAAAAGAACCUGAAACCGUGUACGUACAAGCAGUGGGAGCCCUGAUUUAUCAGGGUGACUGCGUACCUUUUGUAUAAUGGGUCAGCGACUUAUAUUCUGUAGCAAGGUUAACCGAAUAGGGGAGCCGGAGGGAAACCGAGUCUUAACUGGGCGUUAAGUUGCAGGGUAUAGACCCGAAACCCGGUGAUCUAGCCAUGGGCAGGUUGAAGGUUGGGUAACACUAACUGGAGGACCGAACCGACUAAUGUUGAAAAAUUAGCGGAUGACUUGUGGCUGGGGGUGAAAGGCCAAUCAAACCGGGAGAUAGCUGGUUCUCCCCGAAAGCUAUUUAGGUAGCGCCUCGUGAAUUCAUCUCCGGGGGUAGAGCACUGUUUCGGCAAGGGGGUCAUCCCGACUUACCAACCCGAUGCAAACUGCGAAUACCGGAGAAUGUUAUCACGGGAGACACACGGCGGGUGCUAACGUCCGUCGUGAAGAGGGAAACAACCCAGACCGCCAGCUAAGGUCCCAAAGUCAUGGUUAAGUGGGAAACGAUGUGGGAAGGCCCAGACAGCCAGGAUGUUGGCUUAGAAGCAGCCAUCAUUUAAAGAAAGCGUAAUAGCUCACUGGUCGAGUCGGCCUGCGCGGAAGAUGUAACGGGGCUAAACCAUGCACCGAAGCUGCGGCAGCGACACUGUGUGUUGUUGGGUAGGGGAGCGUUCUGUAAGCCUGUGAAGGUGUGCUGUGAGGCAUGCUGGAGGUAUCAGAAGUGCGAAUGCUGACAUAAGUAACGAUAAAGCGGGUGAAAAGCCCGCUCGCCGGAAGACCAAGGGUUCCUGUCCAACGUUAAUCGGGGCAGGGUGAGUCGACCCCUAAGGCGAGGCCGAAAGGCGUAGUCGAUGGGAAACAGGUUAAUAUUCCUGUACUUGGUGUUACUGCGAAGGGGGGACGGAGAAGGCUAUGUUGGCCGGGCGACGGUUGUCCCGGUUUAAGCGUGUAGGCUGGUUUUCCAGGCAAAUCCGGAGAAUCAAGGCUGAGGCGUGAUGACGAGGCACUACGGUGCUGAAGCAACAAAUGCCCUGCUUCCAGGAAAAGCCUCUAAGCAUCAGGUAACAUCAAAUCGUACCCCAAACCGACACAGGUGGUCAGGUAGAGAAUACCAAGGCGCUUGAGAGAACUCGGGUGAAGGAACUAGGCAAAAUGGUGCCGUAACUUCGGGAGAAGGCACGCUGAUACGUAGGUGAAGUCCCUCGCGGAUGGAGCUGAAAUCAGUCGAAGAUACCAGCUGGCUGCAACUGUUUAUUAAAAACACAGCACUGUGCAAACACGAAAGUGGACGUAUACGGUGUGACGCCUGCCCGGUGCCGGAAGGUUAAUUGAUGGGGUCAGCGCAAGCGAAGCUCUUGAUCGAAGCCCCGGUAAACGGCGGCCGUAACUAUAACGGUCCUAAGGUAGCGAAAUUCCUUGUCGGGUAAGUUCCGACCUGCACGAAUGGCGUAAUGAUGGCCAGGCUGUCUCCACCCGAGACUCAGUGAAAUUGAACUCGCUGUGAAGAUGCAGUGUACCCGCGGCAAGACGGAAAGACCCCGUGAACCUUUACUAUAGCUUGACACUGAACACUGGUCCUUGAUGUGUAGGAUAGGUGGGAGGCUUUGAAGUGUGGACGCCAGUCUGCAUGGAGCCGUCCUUGAAAUACCACCCUUUAAUGGCUGGUGUUCUAACGUUGGCCCCUUACCGGGGUUGCGGACAGUGUCUGGUGGGUAGUUUGACUGGGGCGGUCUCCUCCUAAAGAGUAACGGAGGAGCACGAAGGUUGGCUAAUCCUGGUCGGACAUCAGGAGGUUAGUGCAAUGGCAUAAGCCAGCUUGACUGCGAGCGUGACGGCGCGAGCAGGUGCGAAAGCAGGUCAUAGUGAUCCGGUGGUUCUGAAUGGAAGGGCCAUCGCUCAACGGAUAAAAGGUACUCCGGGGAUAACAGGCUGAUACCGCCCAAGAGUUCAUAUCGACGGCGGUGUUUGGCACCUCGAUGUCGGCUCAUCACAUCCUGGGGCUGAAGUAGGUCCCAAGGGUAUGGCUGUUCGCCAUUUAAAGUGGUACGCGAGCUGGGUUUAGAACGUCGUGAGACAGUUCGGUCCCUAUCUGCCGUGGGCGCUGGAGAACUGAGGGGGGCUGCUCCUAGUACGAGAGGACCGGAGUGGACGCAUCACUGGUGUUCGGGUUGUCAUGCCAAUGGCACUGCCCGGUAGCUAAAUGCGGAAGAGAUAAGUGCUGAAAGCAUCUAAGCACGAAACUUGCCCCGAGAUGAGUUCUCCCUGAGACCUGGAGUCUCCUGAAGGAACGUUGAAGACGACGACGUUGAUAGGCCGGGUGUGUAAGCGCAGCGAUGCGUUGAGCUAACCGGUACUAAUGAACCGUGAGGCUUAACCUUACAACGCCGAAG